rnacentral:lncRNA from 1 species
AAACUCAAAACCUCUGGGUUUAUGGUUGGUCUCAAGUUCUUCCUUAAACAACUGAGCUAAGCGGCGGGGUUAUUGGGUUCAAUAUUGUAUUUACUCUGGAAGACAAUUGAGUGAGUUGAAUUCAUUUUCCAAGGCUUUUAAUACCCUUUUCCGCAGAUCUACUUUGCAUAACGCUCCCAUCUCUAUUUUCUUUUGUCACGAUGAUAAUUUUAUUUCUCGGUACUUCGAUUUCUUUAGGAAUCUCACUUAUCAUGAUGCAAAUAAGUUGACGUGUUAAUUUCCGGACUUUUCCGUCUUCUCCCGG